UUUGUCUGAUUUUAUUUGCCUCAUUGCAGUCCUGACAUUUUUUAAUCCAGGUUAAGCACGUUGUGACUUUGUUUUUAAAGUGCUGUAUGAAUUAAGUUUAUUAUUAUUAUUAUCUGGCCAUCACUUCACUGCAGCCAUGGAAGAGCAAACUUCCCACACACUAAUAUGAGAAAAUCUAAAUUACAGGGCCAUUAGAGCUGCUCUCAGUGCAUCUCUCUACUUCCUCUGAUCUUUUAUUACAGUCAUCUGAUCUGCCUGUAAAGGAAACUCGAGCCUCAGGUUUGAACAGCUCUGGUGGAGUGUCACUGGAAAAUAAUUGUAUCACUUCCCUUCCGCUUUGGUCAAAAGCUUUUCUCAGUUUGACCUUACGUACACAUUUUCUCCAGUAAAAAAUAAUUGUAGGACAGUAAAAGAUUUAUGUAGUUGAGGCUGGUAACAACUAGUUUUAAUUCUGUCACUCAACAAGUCAGUUUGGACAUCUGCAAACUAGAAUUACCGCCUUGCUGUUGUGUGCCUCCGCCAAGUCCAGUUGCAGUUUACAUCCAUGUCUGUCCUAAAUAUCAUCACUUCAUCAUUUUAUCCCAUUAGACAUUUGUGUGAAAUUGGCAUAAUUAGCGAUAUUAAUUCUUGAGUUAUGUAUAAGUUAUGUGUUUUGUGAGGAUACUGUGACCCUUGACCACCAAAAAUGAGUUCAUCCUUGAGUCCAACUGGACCUUUGUACCAAAUUUAAAGAAAUUCCCUCCAGGUGUUCCUGAGAUAUUGCAUUCAAAAGAAUGGGUCGGUCAGACGUAUGUACGGACAGAUGGACAACCCAAAAUCAUAAUACCUCCGGCCACGGCAGUCACUAGCAUGGAAGCAUAAAAAUGGGUGUGCGUACCUGAGAGUUUGGACUGUUGGCUGGCGUAGCUGGACGUUCGGGAGUGGCCGCAGCCCCCAAGUUCAUCAGAAACAACAGGACACUUCCCUUCUCGACUCUCUGCUAGAUUAGAAAGAACAGAAGUAAAGUCAAACGGGAUGACGAAGGCCUGAAAGAGUCUGUUCUUCUAUUGCAAAAAACUGCCAUAAUUUAAGUAAGGCUACGUUCAACUUUCCUCAUAUAGUCGAAAAGAAACUGGGGAUAAACUAGCAUGAAACCU